GGGCAGGACCUGCCUGCACGCCGCCGCCUCCGGAGGGAACGUCGAGUGCCUGAACCUGCUGCUGAGCAGCGGCGCCGACCUGAGGAGGAAGGACAAGUUCGGGAGGACCCCCCUGCACUACGCGGCGGCCAACGGCAGCUACCAGUGCGCGGUGACGCUGGUGACGGCCGGCGCCGCCGUCAACGAGCCCGACGGCAAAGGCUGCAGCGCCCUGCACUACGCGGCCGCCUCCGACACCUACCGCAGGUGAGCGCCGCCGCGGGCACCGCGGGCACCGGCAAUGGCACCGUGGGCACCGGCAAUGGCGCCGCGGGCACAGGCAAUGGCAC
rnacentral:lncRNA from 1 species